CUGAACCCAGAGGGGAGGUUUGUCAGGCAAAAAGGAUCUUGCAGCAGAGUAACAACAGAAGCAAGAACAACCAGCUCUGCCCUGUGUACACCCCUUAACAACAACCAAGGCUCUGUCACAAUGCCACACAUCACUGUGAGGUAGACAGAGCAAGGGUAAUCCUUAUCCCAUCUUACAGAUGAGUAAACUGAGGGUUAGAGCAUAAUGUGACUUUCCUAAAGACAGACACAGCUAGCUAGUGGCCCAGCUGAGGCCACAGCCCCGUCACCAGACUUGAUUAGAUCUCUGUCAACCACAUCCCAGCAGCCAAAUGCUCCCUCCUUUUGCCCUCCUGCGGGGCCACGCAGCACACACCACAACCCCUUGGUCCACUGUGGUCUAGGCAAGAGCAGAAGAGUCCAAAAGCAGAUGACUAUCAUCUUCCAUUUGUCUUGGUGCCUGAGGACACCUUCAAACCUUCUCUGCUCCGUUGUAGAACUUUUUCCAGCAAGGGGGAGAGGAAGGACAAAAGGCUAUGCCUUGGGCUCCAAAGUUUAGGAGAGGAGCCAUGGAGAUGGACAGAGAGAGAUCCCAUUGUCUCUGGACACUGCUGGCCAAGGGCCUCCACCUCAGGAGCUGCUGCCUCUCAUCCACUUCCGGGGCGGGGGUAAUGGAAGCUCCCUACCGCCAAGCACCACGACCCUCCCCUGCCUUCUCCAGGCCUAAGGGUCAAGCUGCCAGGCCACCAGGCAGUGCCAGAUACUUACAGCAUGCCUACUGUGUGCAAAAUGCCAUGCUGAAGGCUGUCAGGUCUUGAAAGGUGAUGAUUCAGCAGAGGAUGCUGUUUGUGCCUCACCCCGUGUCCUCUAGCCCACUUCUCCACUCAUCUGCCACUGUGAUGGGAAGGUGUCAGCAAGCCCAGGAAUUGUCCACCCUAAGCAGCCUUUCUGCUUCUCACCUGCAGAGUUUCUCCAGUGCAGGGGCCAAGAGAGCUUUACUCAGCCCACAGGACAGCUGGGAUUUAACACUGCAGGGGCAACCCUCAAGUUAUUAAUAAGAGAUAAGAAUGGGUGGAUAAGCAACCUGGCUGCCUUGGAACUCCGUGGGACAAUUCCAUGGUGUGUUCUCACAGUUCCUCAGUGGGCCCCCAUUGCCCACAAUGAAACUCGAUCAUUAACCACUCUUCACUGGCUUUUCUCCUAACCCAUCCCUAUCUCACUUCCCCUUUCCCUCCCUCCAGCCUCCAGAGAUCACCUCCUCAGUAAACUACCUGCACCCAAGUUCUUGUCUCAGGGUCUGAUUUCAGGAGAAACCAAACUAGGACAUGCAGAGACACGCGUGCACACACACACACACACGCACACAUCUCUGUGAAAAGAUGAGGCACAGAGAAGAAUCAUUCCCAGUCAUGACUGGAUGGCACCAAUAAUAAAGGCUGACACGUCCAAAGCUCUAAGACUGUG
ensembl:lincRNA